GUGGUUUUCCACUUUAAUUUUGAGUGUGAUUCCAAAUCUAGACCUCCAUGGGUUGAUAAAUUGGAUUUCCAUUGAUUAUUUUUGUGUGAUUUUGUUGUCAGCACAUUCAACUAUGUAAAGAAAUAAGUAUUUAAUAAGAUUAUUUCAUUCAUUCAGAUCUAGGAUGUGUUAUUUUAGUGUUCCCUUUAUUUUUUGUGCAGUGUAUAUAACAGAAAAAAUGUUAGCUGUUAUCCUGUUAAUCUCACUCUUAACAACUUAUUAGUUAAUAGUUACUGUAUUUCUGACUGCUAUUCUUUCUUUUUGCAACAUGAAAUCCCUAUCAGUUAGCUUGUGCAACAUUCAGGGCCUAAACUCAUCAACCUUUGGACUGAAGAGUUUAGCACUGGCGUUCAACAAAAAUCGUAAAGAUGUUAACGUCAUCAUUCUGCAGGAGACAUGGUGUAAGGCUGACAUUGUCACUCACUGUCCCACAGGCUUCAGAGAGGUCAUUGUGCCAUCACAAAAACACAGCUCCGUCAAUAGAGGCAGAGACUCUGGAGGAUUGAUCAUUUGGUACAAAUCCGAACUACAACAUCUAAUUUAUCCCCUCAAAAUUGGCAAAUAUCACAUUUGGUUAAAACUGAAAAAAGAACUUAUACUGACAGAAAAAUAUGUGUUCCUUUGCACAAUAUAUACCCCCCGCUCAGAAUCCCCAUAUUACUUAGAGGUGAUCUUCCCCACCCUUGAGGAAGAGAUGUGCCAUUUCCAGGUGCAGGGAAAUUUGCUCAUCUGUGGGGACACAAAUGCGCGCACAGGAACACUACCUGAUCUAACGAGCACACGAGGGGACAGCUUUAUUACAGGCCAUACUGUUUCUAACUGUCUUAAUCUCACCCAUAGAAACAACAGUGACAGCACCGUCAACAAAAACGGAAGGGAUCUUUUGCAGCUCUGUAGAAGCCUGGGUCUGUACUUUGUCAAUGGUAGGUUACGGGGGACUCUUUGGGGAGAUUCACCUACUGCUCACCUCUUGGCCACAGUACAGUAGACAAAUGAUCACAGACAUUGACCCUUUCUCUCUCAGCUCAUUCACUGUCAAGUCACUAACACCGCUGUCUGAUCACAGCCAAAUUACGUUGUUCCUCAAAAGAACAGACAAUGGAAACAACCACACAAUCACAGCCCAGUAAGCUGUACAACAUCAGAAAUUCAUACAAAAUAUCCAAACACUCUUAGAUAACUUUCUGGAUACCACAUUUACUCACAGUAAAGAAGGAAUCAAUCUAGCAGUACAAAACAUCAACUAUAUAUUCAGGCAAACGGCAAAAGAAGCACAAUUGAAAUUGAUAAAAAAGAUCACAGAUGACAACUGGUUUGAUGCAGAUUGUAAAAUUCUAAGGAAAAAACUUAGAACACUAUCCAACCAAAAGCACAGAGACCCAAAUAAUGGUGAAUUACGCCUUCAUUACUGUGAGACUUUAAAACUCUAUAAACGUACACUCAGAACCAAAAAAGCACAGUGCAACAGCAAGCAACUGACACUAAUUGAGGAGUCCAUAAACACAAACAACUUCUGGCAAAAUUGGAAAAAACAAAAAAAAUCUCAACAAGAGGAAUUAGCGAUACAAAAUGGUGAUUUAUGGACAACCCAUUUUAAAACACUCUACAACACCGUUCAAAUUGACACAAACGCAGAACAACGCCAAAUUCAUGACAAGUUGAAUGGAUUAGAAAAAGCUGUAAUGGACAAUCAAAAUCCAUUGGACUCCCCAAUUACUGACCAGGAGCUCUAUAAGAAACUUCAGGCUCUCAAAUUUAAAAAAGCAUGCGGACCUGAUGGCAUCCUAAAUGAGAUGCUCAAACUCACUAGUGCAACAUUUCAAUUGGCUAUAUUAAAACUGUUUAAUUUGAUCCUGAGUGUAGGUUAUUUCCCUGACAUCUGGAAUCAAGGACUCAUAACCCCAAUCUUUAAGAACGGAGACAAAUUUGACCCUAACAAUUACAGAGGCAUUUGUGUGAACAGUAACCUGGGGAAGGUUUUCUGUAGUAUUAUCAAUGUAAGAGUUCUAAACUUCCUUAAUAAGCACAAUGUCUUGAGUAAAAGCCAAAUUGGAUUUAUACCAAAACAUCGCACAACUGAUCAUAUUUACACCCUACACAGCCUGAUAGAUAAACAUGUCCACCAAAAUAAUACCAAAUGAUAUGCUUGCUUUAUCGACUUCCAAAAAGCAUUUGAUUCUAUUUGGCAUACAGGACUGUUCUACAAAGUUAUUGAAAGUGGGGUAGGGGGUAAAACAUAUGACAUAAUUAAAUCAAUGUAUACUGGCAAUACAUGCAGCAUUAAAAUUGGUAAGAAAAUAACAUAAUUCUUUAACCAGGGGCGGGGCCUUCGCCAGGGUUGCAAUCUGAGCCCUGCACUCUUCAAUAUUUACAUUAACGAAUUGGCCACUAUUCUAGAAAAAUCCUCAGCCCCUGGUGUUAGUCUCCACAAUUCAGAAGUUAAAUGUCUACUCUUCGCAGAUGACCUAUGCCUGCUGUCACCCCCAGCACAAGGCCUACAGCAGAGCCUGGACCUGCUAGAGCAGUACUGCCAGACCUGGGCCCUGGCAGUAAACCCCCAAAAUACUAAAAUAAUGAUUUUCCAGAGAAGAUCCAGAUCUCAGGUAAUUAGACCAAAGUUCUCAAUUGGUACAAAAUAUAUAGAGUACUGUACACACUACAAUUACUUAGGUUUAAAAAUAAGCUCAACUGGACACCUCAAUGAUGCAGUGAAUGAACUGAGAGAGAAAGCACGCAGGUGUCACAACGUCCACAGAAGGUGGCGCCUCUCCCCGUUCGGGCGGCGCUCGGCGGUUGUUGUCGCCGGCCUACUAGCUGCCACCGAUCUCCUUUUCCGUUUCUUUUGGUAAUGUCUGUGUAGGGUAGCACCUGUUUUGUGUUUAGUAAUUAGUGGGGUAUUUAGUCUGUCUGUUUUUUGUUUGGGGUUGUGCGGGAUUGUUUCGUGUCUGUGAUUGUAUGUUGGGGAUUUAUUCGUUGUUCAGGCCGUUACACAUUUUUGGCAUUAGGGUUACUGGGCUGCGUCCCGGCUCGUUCCAGGACUGUUGAGUCUUCAAGGUAAUUGUUCUACCCUGCCUUGUUUUGUUCGGCAUUGUGGACUGUGGUUUUAUUAAACGUGUGUCCACGUACUUGAGUCUCCUGCGCCUGACUUCACCCCUCCUGCAUAUCUAUUUGUGUGACAGCAGGGCAUUCUACGCCAUUAAAAAGCUAAUUCAAAUUGAAAUACCUAUUCAAAUUUGGCUAAAACUAAUUGAAUAUGUCAUUGAACCAAUUGCACUCUAUGGCAGCGAGGUGUGGGGUCCACUUGCAAAACAAGAUUUCAUCAAAUGGGACAAACACCCCAUUGAAACCCUGCAUGCAGAGUUCUGUAAGAUUUUCCUACAUGUCCAAAGAAAAACUACAAACAAUGCAUGCAGGGCAGAAUUUAGGCCAAUAUCCACUAAUAAUAAAACCUCAAAAAAGAGCAAUUAAGUUUUGGAAACAUCUAAAAUACAGUGACACCCUCUCAUAUCAUUACCAAGCCCUGCAAUGCCAAGAGCUGAGCAAAUAAAAGAGUCCCCUCAUCCAGCUGGUCCUGGGGCUGGGUUCACAAACCUGUUCUACUAACACACUGAAGCCUCAGGACCAGAACAUCCAAUCAAUCAGAAUAAACCAAAUUACAACACAGUCAAAACAAAACUACAUUGCUUAUUGGGAAACACAAGCACAAACACAAAGCAAAAUGCAGUGCUAUCUGGCCCUAAAUCGACAGUACAGUGUGGCUAACUAUUUGACCAUGAUUACUGAUCAAAACCUUAGAAAAACCUUGACAAAGUACAGGCUCAGUGAGCACAGCCUUGCCAUUUAGAAGGGUAGACACAGGAAAACCUGGCUCCCUGUAGAGGAAAGGCUGUGCAACCACUGCACAACAGCAGAACCUGAGACAGAGCUGCAUUUCCUGACAAAACGUAAAAAAUAUAAAACAAUUAGAGAGUGUCAUUUUCCCAAAUGUGAAACCCUUAUUCAAGGUUUCAAAGACCUCUCUGAUGAGGAUAGGCUACCCGUCCUGUUGGGGGAGGACGUAGAGAGCUGUGGGUUGUCAGCGCACUACAUUGCUGCCUGCCAUAAAUUGAGGGACAGCGUCUGACAAACCAAUCAACCUGCACAUGUACUCUACUGUAUGCCUAUUGUUAUUGUUGAAUGUAUGGUUAUUUUGACCCUUGGUUAUUGUUGUUACUGUUGUCCCAUUGACAAUUUUGAUUCUGAUUUUUAUUUACUUUUAUAUUGUAAAUAUCCUAAAUAAGCUUUGGCAAUAUGUACAUUGUUACGUCAUGCCAAUAAAGCGAAUUGAAUUGAAUUGAGAGAGAGAGAGAUUAGUGUUAGAGAUUAGAGAGAGAGAGAGAUUAGUGUUAGCGAUUAGAGAGAGAGAGAGAUUAGUGUUAGCGAUUAGAGAGAGAGAUUAGUGUUAGAGAGAGAGAUUAGUGUUAGAGAUUAGAGAGAGAGAUUAGUGUUAGCGAUUAGAGAGAGAGAGAUUAGUGUUAGCGAUUAGAGAGAGAUUAGUGUUAGCGAUUAGAGAGAGAGAUUAGUGUUAGCGAUUAGAGAGAGAGAAAGAGAGAGAUUAGUGUUAGCGAUUAGAGAGAGAGCGAUUAGAGAGAGAGAUUAGUGUUAGUGAUUAGAGAGAUUGGUGUUAGCGAUUAGAGAGAGAGAUUAGUGUUAGCGAUUAGAGAGAGAGAAAGAGAGAGAUUAGUGUUAGCGAUUAGAGAGAGAGCGAUUAGAGAGAGAUUAGUGUUAGCGAUUAGAGAGAGAGAUUAGUGUUAGCGAUGAGAGAGAGAGAUUUGUGUUAGCAAUUAGAGAGAGAGAGAUUAGUGUUAGAGAUUAGAGAGAGCGAGAGAUUAGUGUUAGCGAUUAGAGAGAGAGAGAUUAGUGUUAGCGAUUUAGAGAGAGAGAGAGAUUAGUGUUAGCGAUUAGAGAGAGAGAGAGAUUAGUGUUAGCGAUUAGAGAGAGAGAGAGAGAUUAGUGUUAGCGAUUAGAGAGAGAGAGAGAUUAGUGUUAGCGAUUAGAGAGAGAGAGAGAGAGAGAGAGAGAGAGAGAAUUAGUGUUAGCUGAUUCACCAGACUGGCUGAUUCUCACUGUUUAUCCUUUUCAAAUGAGUGACACGGACUAAACAGACUAAACAGUGACUGUUUAGUCUCUACAUCUUUGCUCUCUCCACGUCUCCACCACUUUCCACCUCACAGGUGAGGUCUUAAAGGUGCAGACUGUGAAGUCAAGAGAGAGAAAUUUGACUAGUGGUGUCUGUUGAGAUAGAAAACAGAAACUGUUAAUGAGGAAACUGUUCCGUUGUUAGUUAGCAUUGCCCUCUAGUGGUGUGACAAUGCAAGUGCAUAGGUUGUGUCAGCAUGACGACUCGCAUGACCAAACCCACAGGCAAACAAGAUAAACAACAGUGCUACUGAUUGGAUUCCCUUGUGGAAUUUCAUUUACUGACAACUUAAAUCAGGUUUAAUUUAUUUUGGUCAGUUUACUUCUGACCUCUGUGUGGUGUGACCAACAAACAUGUGUCUUUGUAGUACAGGCCUUUUCUACAUACGUGGUGUACAUUGCCAUGUUUCAAUUGAAAUAAAUACACAAACUCUUGGGUUUUUAACAAUCUAACACAAACUACUGUAUUUUUACUCCGCCUACACCAUCUGUUCUAGGAAUAAUGAGUGCUUAAACAUUGUCAAUGUGAUCCCCUGGUUUUAUUACUGAAAAUUAUUCCUGCAUUGGCCAGGAUUCAAAUUUUUUGUAAGAUUUUUUUAUUUAAACUUUAUUUAACUAGGCAAGUCAAUUAGGAACAAAUUCUUAUUUACAAUGACAGCCUACACCCACCAAACCUGGACAACACUGGGACAAUUGUGCAUCACCCUAUGGGACUCCCAAUCACAGCCGGUUGUGAUACAGCCUGGAUUUGAACCAGGGUGUCUGUAGUGAUGCCUCAAGCACUGAGAUGCAGUGCCUUAGACCACUCGGGAGCCAAUAUGGCCCUCUGGGUUUGAAAAUACUCCAACUUGCCAUUAGAAAGGUGCAGCAAGGUCAUUGAUGGCUACAAUAAGCGUCUUGGCCAAAGGCGGUGCAACCAAGUACGAGCUCCAGGGUGUCAAUCAUUUUGUCCAUGCCUUUUCUCUUAAUUAUCUAAACUAAAAUUGUAAACUUAGGUUUACAAAAAUAAAAUAGGUUCUGCAAUGUUGAAAAUCCAAUAACAAGGUGUGGUGACCAAAACUUUAUUUUGUUUAUAUUUUUUACUUAUUUUAGAAGAAAUAGGGAAUUAUUAAAGAAAAGUGCAAUGCUGCCAAUAUAGUUGGCCGCAACUGUAUUAUAUACAGGUGCACAUGGGCCUAUUUAUAUAAUGAAUAUAAAUUCGGAAGGCAGAAAUGAUUAAAUAUUAAAGCAUUAGACCUCUCACAUACAAAAGUUAUACUUAAAUCUGAACUGGUUUUGCAGCACGCAGAUUCCAGAUUGCCUUUGCCGAUCGCUCAUUUUUUUCAGCCAUUAGUGAGUCGAUGGCUUGAAUAGUAUUGCUGGAAAUGGAAUACCACGAUAGAUGCUGUGUUUUUGGUUAAUUGCCAGGCGGUAUUGGCGGGGAGUCAGGCAGAGAGCGACCUGUUUAAAUGAUAUGAGCAAAAAAAUAUUCUAUUUUAUUUGGAAUGGCAAGCCAGACAAAAUAAAAAGGGCCUAUUGUCUCAUCCCAUGUUCAAGAAUGGCCUUGUCCCCUUUAUUCAGAUUAUAACCACUCACUUUCGGUUAUUUGAAGAUGAAAUCAUCUCCAAAAUAUCAUUAUUUUUAAACAAGGGCUUGAAAAUGAGAUUGUGAACUCUGCAAGCAACGUUUCCAGUCCAAGAAUGAGAAUGAGCAUACAACCAUGCCAACAACCAUCCUUGGAGAUCAGUGGACAAAGGGCUGGACAACAGGCCGCACCGAAAAAACGCAUGGUUCCACAGAAUACCAACUGGAAUGAAUCCUGAGGCAAAUGUGGCUUCUUCAUCAACAUCUUUAAGCUUUCGUUAAUAAACUAAUGAUACAAAUACUGUCUCCAGCUUUGAUCCAUCUGGGUUGGCGACCCCCCUUGGGUUGUGCCGUGGCGGAGAUCUUUGUGGGCUAUAGUCGGCCUUGUCUCAGGAUGGUAAGUUGAUGGUUGAAGAUAUCCCUCUAGUGGUGUGGGGGCUGUGCUUUGGCAAAGUGGGUGGGAUUAUAUCCUGCCUGUUUGGCCCUAUCCGGGGGUAUCAUCGGAUGGGGCCACAGUGUCUCCUGACCCCUCCUGUCUCAGCCUCCAGUAUUUAUGCUGCAGUAGUUUAUGUGUCGGGGGGCUAGGGUCAGUCUGUUAUAUCUGGAGUAUUUCUCCUGUCUUAUCUGGUGUCCUGUGUGAAUUUAAGUAUGCUCUCUCUAAUUCUCUUUUUCUCUCUUUCUUUCUCUCUCUCGGAGGACCUGAGCCCUAGGACAAUGCCUCAGGACUACCUGGCAUGAUGAAUCCUUGUUGUCCCCAGUCUACCUGGCCAUGCAGCUGCUCCAGUGUCAGCUGUUUUGUCUGCGGCUAUGGAACCCUGACCUGUUCACUGUGAUUACUAUUAUUUGGUAAUUUAUGAACAUUUCAACAUCUUGGCCAUGUUCUGUUAUAAUCUCCACCCGGCACAGCCAGAAGAGGACUGGCCACCCCUCAUAGCCUGGUUCCUCUCUAGGUUUCUUCCUAGGUUUUGGCCUUUCUAGGGAGUUUUUCCUAGCCACCAUGCUUCUACACCUGCAUUGCUUGCUGUUUGGGGUUUUAGGCUGGGUUUCUGUACAACACUUUGAUAUGCCAGCUGAUGUAAGAAGGGCUAUAUAAAUACAUUUGAUUUGAUGCCUGGGCCUUCAGGACGCAAAGUUCUUUGUUUGUCAGACGAGUCAUUGGGUCGAAACUACAGAACAGUACAAAACAAGAGAACACACAUGGUUAAUGUUCUGAAGAAAAAAAAUAUAUUUACACUGCCGGUCAAAAGUUUUAGAACACCUACUCAUUCAAUGGUUUUUCUUUAUUUUUACUAUUUUCUACAUUGUAGAAUAAUACUGAAGACAUCAAAACUAUGAAGUAACACAUAUGGAAUCAUGUAGUAUCCAAAAAAGUGUUAAACAAAUCAGCAUAUAAAAUGUCUUACAGAGCCUUUCCAUAAGUCAACUCAAGUUUCUUCAACUGUCUUCUGACUGUGAUUAGAGUGAUGUGGAUGUUGUGCUGUGAUGCCAGCAGAUUCCAGACUGGAUUUGCCAAAUGCCCAUCCUCUUCAACCAUCAGUGAGUCGAUGGCUUGAAUAGUCUCGCUAGAAAUUGUAAUGAAAAGCACUAUACAAAGUAAAUGUAUUAUUUAUUAUGGUCUGACAUGGCUGCAGAAAUGUUACAAUUUUGUAAUGCGUUUUGUUUGGUAAAUUGUUUUGUAAAUAUUAAUUCACAUUUGUGGUGCCAC
rnacentral:lncRNA from 1 species